rnacentral:lncRNA from 1 species
CUGCGUUGCACUUUAUGGCUGUAGGGAAGGGGGAGGAGCGGUUUUUUAUAUGAUUUACUUGUCAUUCGGUGGCGCUGUUUAUGGCUCAUGCACGGAGUGGCCGUCGGUACGUGUGUUUGGUUUAUAGCGCACACAAUCAUGCAUAUAUUUUCACAGAGAAAAUGAAAGGAAAGGCUGAGAGCCUGGUCGCUGGUACGCACUUUAUUAACACACAUAUAUUCCGCGUCGCUCUUGGCGCUCCUCCUGCGAGUACAUAAAAUAUGAAUCCCCGCCGCUGGUCGUGCGUCGUACUCCACGGAAUUUAAUAUAAAACGCACAAUGAUAAUAUUAUAAAAUGCUUAAACAGAAUAUUGAAAUGAGCUCAAGGAAACGUUUCACUUUAUUGCGAAAUUUCGCAAAAUAUCUGCCAUAAGUCGCUUGUCAGCAGAGCGAGAGGGAGGAGGAGGGAGGAGGGAGGGAGGAGCAGAGACACAGACGUGCACUCAGCAGAAGGGUCGAGUCCACUGAUGAUGUUCCAUUCAAUCAUCUUCGUUUUCCGACUCUUGAAUAUACAAUUGACUUAUGAAGAUGUGGUGGUGUGUUUGGAGUGUUUUCUGUGUAUUUUCCCAUGUUUUUUGUGUCCCUGUUUUUUUCCCCUCUGUGUUCAACUGUGACAACACAAACCCUACUCACGCUCUACCUCUCUCUGACAACGGCUUCUGUUACUGCUAGCAAAAGGCUUAGAGAGGAAAGUAGCUGCCAGAGCAACAGGCUGUUGCGUGCAGUGGAGUUCUGCGCUCUCCA